rnacentral:rRNA from 1 species
AACGCGAAGAACCUUACCUGGACUUGACAUGCACAUGACCGCCGUAGAAAUACGGUUUUCUCGCAAGAGACAUGUGCACAGGUGCUGCAUGGCUGUCGUCAGCUCGUGCCGUGAGGUGUUGGGUUAAGUCCCGCAACGAGCGCAACCCUUGUCGUUAGUUGCCAACACGUAAUGGUGGGCACUCUAGCGAGACUGCCUAGGUUAACUAGGAGGAAGGUGAGGAUGACGUCAAGUCCGCAUGGCCUUUAUGUCCAGGGCUACACACGUGCUACAAUGGUCGGUACAGAAGGCAGCAAAACCGCGAGGUGAAGCAAAUCCUAAAAGCCGGCCCCAGUUCAGAUUGGAGUCUGCAACUCGACUCCAUGAAGAUGGAAUUGCUAGUAAUGGCGGGUCAGCAACACCGCCGUGAAUACGUUCCCGGGCCUUGUACACACCGUACGUC